AGUGAACGCUGGCGGUAGGCCUAACACAUGCAAGUCGAACGGCAGCACAGCAAGAGCUUGCUCUUACGGGUGGCGAGUGGCGGACGGGUGAGGAAUACAUCGGAAUCUACUUUUUCGUGGGGGAUAACGUAGGGAAACUUACGCUAAUACCGCAUACGACCUACGGGUGAAAGCAGGGGAUCUUCGGACCUUGCGCGAUUGAAUGAGCCGAUGUCGGAUUAGCUAGUUGGCGGGGUAAAGGCCCACCAAGGCGACGAUCCGUAGCUGGUCUGAGAGGAUGAUCAGCCACACUGGAACUGAGACACGGUCCAGACUCCUACGGGAGGCAGCAGUGGGGAAUAUUGGACAAUGGGCGCAAGCCUGAUCCAGCCAUACUGCGUGGGUGAAGAAGGCCUUCGGGUUGUAAAGCCCUUUUGUUGGGAAAGAAAAGCAGCAGGUUAAUACCCCGCUGUUCUGACGGUACCCAAAGAAUAAGCACCGGCUAACUUCGUG
rnacentral:rRNA from 1 species